rnacentral:rRNA from 1 species
UACAGAGGGGGCAAGCGUUGUUCGGAAUUACUGGGCGUAAAGGGCGCGUAGGCGGCCUUCUAAGUCGAACGUGAAAUCCCCGGGCUCAACCCGGGAACUGCGUCCGAUACUGGAAGGCUUGAAUCCGGGAGAGGGAUGCGGAAUUCCAGGUGUAGCGGUGAAAUGCGUAGAUAUCAGGAGGAACACCAAUAGCGAAGGCAGCUCGCUGGGACGUUACUGACACUGAGGCGCGAAAGCGUGGGGAGCGAACAGG